rnacentral:rRNA from 1 species
UACGUAGGGGGCAAGCGUUGUCCGGAUUUAUUGGGCGUAAAGAGCUCGUAGGUGGUUUGGUAAGUCGGAUGUGAAAUCUCCAGGCUCAACCUGGAGGGGUCAUUCGAUACUGCCAUACUAGAGGUCGGUAGGGGAGUGGUGGAAUUCCUGGUGGAGCGGUGAAAUGCGCAGAAUAUCAGGAGGAACACCGGUGGCGAAAGGGCGGGGA